GUGAUUCACCCAGCUGGUGCUGGCCAGGCUAUUUAAGUACUUCCAGCAGUCAACAGUGCUGUUUUGCCUGUGAGGAAGUAAAAGGUUUUUGGUUUAUUGUAUUGCCCAGUACUUGGUGGCCGUGCCCUGCUUCUGGCUUUGCCCAGGGGGAUGAUAAAGACCUGCAGUGGCAAUAGGACCGCUAGUUGUUGGUAAGCUGCUUGACCUUCGAUCCAUUUCAUUUUGGGAAAACCUGCAAAGCAUUUUGUUGAAAGGCUUGUAACCCUGCCCUGUGUGUCUGUGCUCUCCGUCUGUGCCCGCAACAUUUUCCCUUUGCUUUUGAAGGCUUGCUGUAUCAGCAAGGCAGCUUUCCUUUUGGACAUCCCCCCUCCCUCACCCUUCUGUGCCAGGGGCUGGUGCAGUGUUGGAACACGUAACCAAAGAGGUGUCUGUGGGGGUCCACAUGCUUAAGCACCUCCACAACUCAAGUGACUUGUUCCAGUGUUUGUGAUAGCCCUGCAGAGAGCAGGAGGUUGGACCAAAGCCCUACAGAAGUCCUUUCCAGCCUCUACUUCUCAUUGCUGUCUGGAACAGGACUGUGAUUUAGUGGUGCUCUUGCCAUCGUGCUGCAGGACAGCCUGGUUUUGAGGGCUAAGGGGUUUCUAUGAGUGGCGGCCCUUUAUCAUGUCUUCAGUUGCUACUUCCCUGUACCAAACCUCUCAUCCUCUGCAUCACCGUGCUCUCAGCCUGACCCUGCCCUCAUGGUGCUUUAAGGUGCUCCUGGCGCCAUGGCCACCCCCUGGGUGACUCAGGUGGUUGACAUGAGCCACACGUGCUCUUUGCUGUUUAUAGCACUGUUAACUCUGUCAUCUGCUUGUCAUACCAGGAAAGACUUUUCUAGGUGUUUAGUUAUUGGUUGAAGAACUAAAUUGUGCAAUACCAGGAACUGAUCCCUUGGAGCAGCUCGUAACAACCAAAUAGCAUCUUUAAUCCAAAUAGCAUCUUUUCUUUCCCGUGCUUCAAAUUUGGUGCGAGCGUCUGUUUGCAUGCAGUGUUUUUCCUCAGAAUGUCAGGUGCCAUUAAAAACCUGGAGGAAAAUGGAUUACAAGGGAUCGGCCCAACUUGUUCGGCAGGGCUUCAGACCUUCCAAAAAAUAAACCCAGGAAAGACAGCUGGUUCACAAACCUCUCUGGGUGGCAGAGUACGAUGUGUUGGGACACCAUCUUGUAGAUUUAGAAUAAUGGAAUGGCCUGGGUUGAAAAGGACCACAGUGACCAUUUAGUUUCAGGCCCCCUGCUAUGUGCAGGGUCACCAACCGCCAGACCAGGCUGCCCAGAGCCAUGUCCAGCCUGGCCUUGAAUGCAUCCAGAGAUGGGGCAUCCACAGCCUCCUUGGGCAGCCCGUUCCAGUGAACAGGAGCAUUUAGACUUGGCUGUCUGGCUGUGGGGAGGAAUUGGUGGCACCUGGGUAUUCUUGCCCUGUCAGAUGGGGCUGUGUGAGGGUCACAGCCCCUGUGGCGUAGGGCCUCUGGGAAUCUGGCCCUGAAUGAGAAAGCCUCCUGUGGUACAGUUUGUCCCUUCUGUGUCAGUUCCAGUGCUCCAUGGAAUAAACUGCAUGAGCACGGCCCCGGUGUCGAUGUAACAUGAUGAAUUAUGUAAUGCUGUGUCACAAUUACGCAUUUAUGAAAGAGAAGUAGGGCAGGGAGCUGCUGGAGAAAGCAAGGGCUCCUGGGUCAGCAGCCCCAUGGCCCCGCUGCUGGCUGAGCUGUGAUUGCUGCAGGCCACCUCUGUGUGUGUGUCCUGAAUGCCAGAGUUCCCUGCAGGACCCGUGGGUGCCUUUGAGGCUCGUGUUUUCCUUAGAGGUGGAGGAAGAAGCUGGCAGAGAGCUGGCGGGUGAUUGCUGCAGGCAGCAUCAGCCACUGGGCAGCGUAUAGCUCAGGUCAGACUUUCUGCAUCCUCCAGCUGCAAAGCUUCUCUUGACACUUUCUUUAGGAGUGCACCAAGCACCUUUGUCCCAUUGCUCUCACUGUACCAGGAGAAGAGUAAAGUCGUCAUGGUUUCUGCAGACUGUCAGCAGUGUGCAAAAGAGGUGCAGGGGCUGAACCACAUUGACCGGUUUGGGCAAUUCAGAGCCUGCAGGAACAGCCGGGGAGGGCUGUGCUUCAUCUCUGCUGCUCCUCCAAACAGAAAUGGAAAAAACAGGAGGAGGAGGAUGGAGGGGAGGUGGAGAGAGAGAGAGGAAAGAGGGUGAGAGAUCUGGUACAGCAUGAGCAGUGCUGUCGGAGCAAGCUGAAGCUUUUGGAGAGAAACAGCGCUUGGGAGUGGUGCAGAACUGGAAAUGGCUUUUGAAUCUUUCUGUUAUGUUGUACAGUAAAUGGCUGGGAUACCUCUAAUAGUGAGGAAGGAGCUGUCUGGCUGGCUGAGGCUGUGCUGCUGCAGGGGUUGCUGCAGCAGCAGUGCUGUGGUCCCCACAGGCAGCAGCAUCCCACCCGCUGCUCCUGGAUGGGUGCCUGGGGCAAACGCUGCAGGAAGCACACUGCACAGAACUGAGAUACCCGAGAUAGAAACCAGUACCUGCACUGGGAGACACUGGGGAGCUGGUGUUCUUUCCCAGCAGCACUGAGCUGUGCAUGCAGUCCUGAGGCCAGAGGAGGAGGGCUGACCAUAAUGUUACACACAUCACAGACCUGCCACAACCCUCUGCAUGUGUGGGGAAGAGGAAGUCCUGCCCAAGCUCACUGGACACUCAGGGAAUUGCCCAGAGCCCAGCAGACAGGACCUGUUUCCAUCGCACAGAUGUGCACCGGGCUGCUACACAUGAGUGUUAUACCCAUGAGCACUCGUGAUGGUGGUGGUGGAAGAGGUCACUCUGUUGGCUGUGUUGGAUCAAGUCCUGAGAGCGUUCCUUCAGGGUGGAAGAGCCUGAGCGAUGCUGUUCCUUUUCUGACUCCUCCAAAGGCCAUCAAAGUCCUCCAGGUAAAGCAAGGAAGUCAGGACAUGGCAGCUCUAAUGUAAAACUGUGGGAAGAGGAGACAGCUGCUUUAAAAAGCAACCUUUGCAAGGUCGUCUCUGAGCAACGCAGAGCAGCAGCACAGAGCUCGAGCACUUUUCUGCAAUUCAGCUUGAAAAGGCUGCAUCUUGCCCUUCCUUUAUGGGAAAGAACACAUGUGAUGACAGGUCCCCAGAGCUUUUAUUUUGAAGCCAAAUGCUUAGAGUGCAUGAAGACAGCAAAAGCCUUUUCCUUCAGGCGAUACAAAUCAAAUAAAUGGAGGCGCUGCACUGCAGUUCUGUGCAACUGACUUGCACACAAACUGCACGUGUGUCUGAGCAUCCGAAAUGCAGCCCUGAUGGGAGGUGCUGGGUGCUGUCAGCAGCCCUCCUGCCCCAGCUGUUUCCUACCUGCUUGGGGCCGGGGUGUCUGCCCAUGACUUGACUUUGCCACGCUGGACAAAUGUUCUUCAAUGUAAAUUGAAUAGUAAGCUAUGCUAAAGGCACAAAAUAAAAAAGCAAGUGGAUUUUGUAGCAGCUACA